UUAUCUAAGGAAAGAUCUUGCAGGAUAAGUAAUUAGUUAAGAGAUUGAUAUGGAUAGUAGGAGCAGAUGAUCAAUUUUUAUAAAAGGGUGUUUACAGAUAUCUGUGCUACAACCAAGAAUUCAAUUUAAGCCAGAUGCAGCCAUCAGGACCAGCAGCUGUUGCUUAAGCAGAAAUCAGGGCAGGGGAACACAGUACCACACCUUCUCAUCUCCUUAUGUAAGAGUGCAGCAAGAAUUGGUAUCUUGUAGGGUCAAUGGUGUCUGAAGAGGAAGCGGAUGAGAGGAGAGCAAGAAUGCAUGAGAAAGUAUCUGGAAGAAAGGAUCCAAAUGGAAGGAGUCAGAAGUUACAAAAGGUGAACAUGUCAAGAGCAAGAUCAGCAAAAGUUUUGGCAGUGGAAAGCUGAAUGCACCAAAGGAAGACUUUUUGUCCCAGCUACUUUUAUAUAAUAAAUCAAUAAAGCCAAGCUCUUUUGCUCUGCCUCAAACCUCCUCUCUUCUCAUUAGAGAAGAAUUCUGGGCUCAAUAAACUCUGCUCAAGCACUAUGGACAGAAAAACUUCUCUAAAGCUUUGUAUCA